rnacentral:lncRNA from 1 species
GUCCAUGUGCGACAGUACCCCUUCUGGCUGGAGGCCAAGGUGGGGAUCUCCAAACACAUCCACCGACUCCAGGAAGCCAGCAUCUUGGCCCCUUGCCAGUCAGCUUGGAAUACACCCCUGCUUCCUGUGAGGAAGCCUGGCACCUCAGACUUCAGACUGGUACAGGAUUUGCAGGAGGUAAACAGCUGGGUGGAGACCAUCCACCCAAUGGUACCAAACCCCCAUACUUCGUUGAGUCUCAUCCCUCCUGCUCAUGUGUGGUACUCAGUAUUAGACCUCAAAGAUGCAUUUUUCAGCCUGCCCCUAGCACCAGUGAGCCAGCCCCUCUUUGGCUUUGAAUGGACUGACCCAGACACCAGUACUACCGGACAGCUGACAUGGACCGGUUGCCACAGGGAUUCAAGAACUUCCCGCUCUGUUUGGAGAAGCUCUCAGCAAAGAUUUAUGAGAGGUUUGACUCCAAGACACUGGAACCCCAUUGGAAGGGACCAUUUCCCCUUGUCCUGGUGACCCCCUCAGUGGUGAAGGUAGCUGGACACUCUGCCUGGAUCCACUGUGGUCAUUUGAAGGUGGCACCCCCUGAGGAAGCAAUGUUGACAUGGCAGAUCGACUGGAACAAAGAGGACCCCCCUCAAGAUAAGAUGAAUCAAGGACUGAGAUGGGUAAAGUGGGGAUUUAUAGGAACCUUGGUCCUGUUGGCUCGGGUACGAGGAGAUGUUCAAUGGCUGGUGCCUUCCAGCCAUGCCCCCAAAAUUGGACAUGGUCUCUCAAAAAUUCACUUACUGGAGCCCUGAUUGCCAUUGUCACAACAGACAGACAGCCCAUCUUUCAGGUUGACUUGUGUGAUAUAGGACUAGUUACUGGGACUGUGGGAGUGUCUGAUGUUGCAGAACCAUGUUCAGAUCCCUCUUCAACCCCUGGGGGAAAACGGGGAUGGUCUACACUUAACAGAAAAAAGGGUCUCCAGACCAUAGAUAUUUAUGCAUGGCCUAUAUGUAAAGACCCAAAAUGUAAUGGGGGGCCAGGAUACCAUUGUUACUAUUGGGGCUGUGAGUCCAUAGCCCCAUGGAAAAAUAAUGACCAGUAUUUAGCCUUGGAGCAGCGAACAGCUAGUAGCUCAUGCUCCCUGGGACAUUGUAACCCCAUUCGGUUAAUGCUAAAACAAUGGCAAAACCCAUACAAAGAAUGGGAGGAAGGUAAAUCUUGGAUGGUGGCACUGAAUACAAAUGGGCAAGACCCAAUGACAGACAUCAUCAUUCAGUGAAGUCUGGUAGUGACACCACCCAAACCAGUGGGAAACCUUUAUAAGAUAUUGAGCCCCCCAAAAGGCAGUGGCCAACCCCACAGGCGCAGAGGAAAUUCCACUUCCUCACUGCUGAGAAAGAAAACACGCACUCACCCCGCUUGCUGCCUGGGUAACACCCUACCCAACAAGGUCCCUGUAACUGCCCCAGAGUCACCAAUCCAACCAUACUUCAAAAUGCUGGGUGC